CCGGGAAGAAGCCAGAAUCAAAGUUGAUUGGUUCUCGCUUGAGUUGAUUAUAAAACGUUUCAAACGGUGUACAUGUGAGGAAACUACAGGAAUUCAGUUUGGUUGGUGGGAUGGCAAACAACUGUCCAUCUAUUUUCAAGCUUAUUCUGUAUCGACGUUAUCGAUGACUGUUUUUUUCUUUUUAGAUCCUUGGACUACCUACCUCUUUUUCUUAAUUAUCUUAACCGCCAACACCCAAACAUUUAUUUUACAUCCGAACUGGAAAAAGACCGUAAACUGCCUUUUCUCGAUGUCGAUAUAACUCGCUUAAACGGUAAAUUUUCCACUUCUGUUUAUCGUAAACCAACUUUCACGGGUCUUUUCACUAACUUCCACAGCUUCAUUCCUCUUGCAUACAAACGCUCUUUAAUCUCUGUGCUUACAGAAUUUUCAACCUCUGUUCUAGCUAUGAAAACUUUCACAUUCUGCAGCUUGAAGUUAUUAGGAAACUGUUUAACUUGAAUGGUUUCCCCUCCAACAUGUUUGACCGUUUUGUUCAUCGUUUCCUUAACCCAAACCUCCUAUUCACACGGUUCCUAAAAAGGUUGUCCAUUUCUGCCUUCCUUUCACCGGUUCACACUCUCGUCAGAUUCGCACUCAAAUCAACCGAUUUUGCAAUGCUGCUUAUCCGCAAUGCUUCGAUUUAUCUUUCGCUCCUCUAAACGCAUAGACUCUUAUUUCUUUCAUUUUAAGGAUAAAGUUCCUAUGUUUCUGAGAUCUGGUGUCGUAUACUUAUUUAAGUGUCGAUGCUGUUCCGCGUCGUAUGUGGGUCAAACCAUGCACCAUUUACACACCAGAGUAUCGGAACACCUAGGACUCACUCUUAUAACAGGACAGCCGUCAUCCAGUCCAGUCAUGUCUAGUAUAUUUUCUCUCACUUAGAUACUACAGGUCACUCUGUCAACUUUGACGACUUCAAAAUUCUUCCCUCUUGCUCAGACACUUGUGAAUUACUGAUUCACGUAAGCCUUUUUGUAUCUAAGCUCAAACCCUCUCUUAACGUCCAGGGCAGCUCUAUUUCGCUUAACCUUCUGUAAUUUGCCGUUUUCUUGUGUCUGUUUUGUUUCCUCAUUUGUAUCGUCCUGUCAUACAUACACCUUCUUAUCCUUUAUUAUCCUUAGUAACAUAACACCUUGUAAAUAUAUUAUAAUUAGCUUAUACA